CUUCGAGUCGGAGAGCUGAAAUGGCAGUGUCCAGGGUGGGGUGAGAGGAGGGCCAUGAGGGACCCCGUCCUUGCCCCCCAGACCCUGAGAAGUAAAGACCACCCUCUCCUUGUUGAAGAAAUUCAGUGGACAAUGGGGAACCAGGGAGCCAAGCACCAUGACGGCACUCAGCCACAAACGAAACACAGAGCCCUGAUGUACACUCGAGGGCUCUGGGCCGGCGGGAGUUAGAGGGCCGGGACUGCAGCGAGCAUGUGCAGUGGCACCUGGAUGUUCAGCGUGGAGAUGUGGCGCUCCAGGUUCUGCUUGGCCUCCACCUCUUCAUCCAACUGGUCCUGCAGGCUGUUCCUCUCCUCCUCCAGCUGCCGCAGCUUCGUGGACACAUUGAGCUUCUGCCGCGUCUCCUCCUGAAGCAGCUCCUGGGGAGGGACACAUGGAGAUCUCAGGGACCCAUCCCGAGGUCCCAGCCCAGGACCCCCAGUGGAGGAUGUGGCGGGAUGCUCACCUGCGUGUCCUGUAGCUGGGACCCCAGAGCUGCCACAUCCUUGGCCAGCUUGAUGGCCUUGCCUUCUGCCUCGUUGAGCAUCCCUGUGACACUCUCCACUUCAUUCUGAGGGUGCCGAGAGAGUGGUUAGUCGAAGCCUCCAGGCCAAGGUCCUCACUAAGUAAGGGGAGCCCUUUUCCUUCAAGCCUCACCAUACACCAUCAUGGGACAGGACUUGGAGUGUCAUGGAUGGAGAAAAUACCCACAAGGGAGACUCUGUGAAUAAUAAUGCUGUGGCCCCAAAGGAAGUCUGUCACCUACAAGCUGGGAUCCCUGGCCCGAGACACUGUGGUGCUAAGUAUCUGUUAGAGCCCUGUCUGUCCCAGUGGGCCCUGAGCCCGCUAGAUGGAUGUGGAGUCCCUGCCCAGGUUGGCAGAGAUGAAGCACAAUCAUGAGGGAUGGUCAGACUGGUCGACUCCGUAAAGCUAGAAAGGAGAUGCAGCAUGGCACCUGAACGUCUGCGGGGUCCCGUCCCCAUCCCCGUCCUCGCCCAUAUGCUUGGAGAGGCAUGUACUGGCCCUCAUGGACAAAACCAAAGAUGCAGUAAAGGUAAAGAGCCCCCUACUGCCUUCUGGGCCUUCUCCCACAGCCCUGCUGUGUCUGAGCAGGUCGUGUGGGGGGACCAGCCUGCCUUCCACUUCUGCCCACUUACAGCCAGGAUGGAGCCAGCUGGACUCUGCUGUCUCAGACUUCGCUAGUUUCAGGCUAGCAAAGCCCCUGCCUCGACUGCACAGGGAGAGGAUCACACCUAACGCUUCUGCCCAUUUGUCCUGGACUGUUAGCACAUUAAAUAUUUAUCAAGA